AAGUUUCUGUUCCAUGAAGUAUCAAGUCCCAAACAGGAGAACACAAAACUGGUUGCCAUAGUGACGGGCCAAAGGAUUCUGGGAUUGUUGACACCAAGAAUUGUAACUGAGCAGACAGUGCUGUAUUUCAAGCAGCUGUCGAGGGUUUUACUUUAUGGAGUGGACAGCCAUGUGAUGAGCCCUACAGAGUGUCUUUAUGAUGCUGUGUACAGGUGAGACCACACGAACUACAUUCAACAAGCAUAUGCUGGAGGGACGAAUACCCAUCACCAGAAAAUGUAGCACUUGUCAGACGUUGCGGAGAACGGCAUGUUAGCUAAGAAACCAAUAGUUCUGAGGUGCUGAAAAAUGCCCCACCAAGAAGGUGACACACAGAUGUGAACCUGAAGAUGCUGAUGAAGAGUCAGAAAUUAAAAAGCAGUGAAGGGUUCUUAGACGGAGAUAUUCUAAAAUUGCUAGGUCACACAACUAAGGAGGACCCCACCAUGUACCUUAGGUACACAAUGAGCUCUUGCAACUCAACAAUGAAAAAAGAAGGCCUGGCUUCAAAAUGAGCAAAGGACGUAAAUGGGCAUCUUCUAAAGGAGAUGGAUGAGCAAGUGAGUGGUAAGUAUGUCGAAGGGCGCUGGCAGAACCUGCUUCAGUCAUGAGUGACUGACAGAUUGAAAUAGUCACGAGAUUCCACCCCACUGCUGUAGGGUGACUCAUUUUAAAAAUAAAUCACGGGCCUGGAGAGACAGUUCUGAGCAACGUGGCUCUUGCAGAGAACCAAAUUCAGCUCCCAGCACCUACGUUGGGAGGUUCACAACUGCCUGCAACUCCAGCUCCAGGUGAAAGAACAACCUCUUCUGGCUUUUUCAAGCACUGCACUUACAUUCACAUGCACAGUUAUGAAUAAAAUAAACCCUUUUUUAAAAAAAUGUAAUAAAACCAUGAGGAGUUAGAAAAACUGGUGUCUUCACACAUGACUGCUAGGAAUCCAAACUGGUGCAGCCACUGUGAAAAAGAAUUUGGCAGUUUCUCAAAAAGUUAAAGAUAGACCUACCCUGUGAUCCAGAAAUGCUACUCCUAGCUCUGUCCCCAAGAGAACUGAAACAUAUGUUCCAAAAACAACUCAAUAUCACAGAAGCUUUAAAGGCAUAAAACACAAAUGUUAGUUAACUAAAUAAAAGGUGAGCAAACUGCAUUCUACACAGACAAUGGAAUAGUAUUCAGCUAUAAAAAAAGAAUAAGGCAUUGUUACCUUACCAACCUCAAAAACACUAUGCUACGUGAGAGACCCCUGAAAUACUGAGGGGUUUGAUUAAUAUGAUUUAUGUGGAUUUAUAUAGGAUAGACCCACAAAGGUAAAAGGCCAAUCAGUGGUAUCAGGUAACUGAGAAGAAACAGGAAGUGGGAAGCACGAAGUAAUUUGCAAGGUGAUGAGAAUGUUUUGGAAUCAGGAGUGGUGGUCACACAACACUGCCCAUGUGUUAAAACCAUUGGUGUGCAUACACUAAAGUACCCGGGAUGGAGAUGAGCAUUGUACAUAAACUUCUCCUUAAAGCCACUGGUGUGCACACACUAAAGUACUUGGGAUGUUAAUCAUUGAGGAGAUGAGUAUCAUCUUAAUGUAUAUUUAA